AUCCUGCUCCGUCGCCCCAGUGUUCAGACUACCUGUUCAGGACAAUGCUGUUGUACAGUAGUCUGCACAUUGGUUAGACUGGGCAAGGGA
rnacentral:pre_miRNA from 1 species